UACGAAGGGGGCUAGCGUUGCUCGGAAUCACUGGGCGUAAAGCGCACGUAGGCGGAUCUUUAAGUCAGGGGUGAAAUCCUGGAGCUCAACUCCAGAACUGCCUUUGAUACUGAGGAUCUUGAGUCCGGGGAGAGGUGAGUGGAACUCCGGAGUGUAGAGGUGAAAUUCGUAGAUAUUCGGAAGAACACCAGUGGCGAAGGCGGCUCACUGGCCCGGUACUGACGCUGAGGUGCGGAAAGCGUGGGGAGCAAACAGGG
rnacentral:rRNA from 1 species